UACGAAGGGGGCUAGCGUUGCUCGGAAUCACUGGGCGUAAAGGGUGCGUAGGCGGGUCUUUAAGUCAGGGGUGAAAUCCUGGAGCUCAACUCCAGAACUGCCUUUGAUACUGAGGAUCUUGAGUUCGGGAGAGGGGAGUGGAACUGCGAGUGUAGAGGUGAAAUUCGUAGAUAUUCGCAAGAACACCAGUGGCGAAGGCGGCGCACUGGCCCGAUACUGACGCUGAGGCACGAAAGCGUGGGGAGCAAACAGG
rnacentral:rRNA from 1 species